UGGGGGAUAUUGCACAAUGGGCGAAAGCCUGAUGCAGCGACGCCGCGUGGGGGAGGAAGGCUUUCGGGUUAUAAACCUUUUUCGCUAUCGAACAAGGCCCGCUUAGGGAGGGCUGAGGGUAGGUGGAGAAGAAACGCCGGCUAACUACGUGCCAGCAGCCGCGGUAAUACGUAGGGCGCGGGCGUUGUCCGGAAGUAUUGGUCGAAAGGGGCUUGGAGGCGGCCAGCGGCGCGUGCGGUGGAAACGCGGGGCUUAAAUUCGCGCGUGCAGUGGGUACAGGCAGGUUUGAGUGUGGGAGGGGUGGCUGGGAUUCCAGGUGUGGCGAUGGAAUACGCUGAUAUCUGGAGGGACACAGAUGGCGAGGGCAGGUCACUGGGCCAUUACUGACGCUGAGGAGCGAGAGAAUGGGUAGCGAACAGG
rnacentral:rRNA from 1 species